rnacentral:rRNA from 1 species
UACGUAGGGUGCGAGCGUUAAUCGGAAUUACUGGGCGUAAAGCGUGCGCAGGCGGUCUUUUAAGUCAGAUGUGAAAUCCCCGGGCUUAACCUGGGAACUGCGUUUGAAACUGAAAGGCUAGAGUGUGGCAGAGGGGGGUGGAAUUCCACGUGUAGCAGUGAAAUGCGUAGAGAUGUGGAGGAACACCGAUGGCGAAGGCAGCCCCCUGGGCUAACACUGACGCUCAUGCACGAAAGCGUGGGGAGCGAACAGG